rnacentral:rRNA from 1 species
AUUGAACGCUGGCGGAAUGCUUUACACAUGCAAGUCGAACGGCAGCACGGACUUCGGUCUGGUGGCGAGUGGCGAACGGGUGAGUAAUGUAUCGGAACGUGCCCAGUCGUGGGGGAUAACGUAGUGAAAAUUACGCUAAUACCGCAUACGUUCUAUGGAUGAAAGCGGGGGAUCGCAAGACCUCGCGCGAUUGGAGCGGCCGAUAUCAGAUUAGGUAGUUGGUGGGGUAAAGGCCCACCAAGCCAACGAUCUGUAGCUGGUCUGAGAGGACGACCAGCCACACUGGAACUGAGACACGGUCCAGACUCCUACGGGAGGCAGCAGUGGGGAAUUUUGGACAAUGGGCGAAAGCCUGAUCCAGCCAUUCCGCGUGCGGGAUGAAGGCCCUCGGGUUGUAAACUGCUUCUGUACAGAACGAAAAGGUUUCUACUAAUACUAGGAGCUCAUGACGGUACUGUAAGAAUAAGCACCGGCUAACUACGUGCCAGCCGCCGCAGUAA